GGAAGGAUCAUUAACAAAUCCUAAACAACCUAUUAACCUUGAGGGACGACGGAAUGGGGAAACCCAUUCUGUUGUUUCUCAGGGCGACAAAUUCUGUUAAGGUCAGUUGUCCGUUGAAAGAUACGGUUUGUAACAAUUAUAACUUUAGAGAAACAUGUUAACAACCUCAAAACCUUUGGAUUCAGGUGUUAAUGGGCUCUUAAUUGAACUCGUUAACCCUGAAACCGAAACUACAUACGACUUCCAACAAUGGAUAUCUCGGCUCCCACUUCGAUGAAGAACGCAGCGAAAUGCGAAACGUAAUGCGAAUCGCAGAUAGCCGUGAGUCAUCGAAUCUUUGAAUGCAUCCUGCACCUCGGGAUCCGCAAGGACAACCCCAGGUACACUCGGAUGAGAGUGACAUAAGGCAUAUCAGGGGAUCUCGCUGCGGGACUGGGCCAAGUGCUCCUUUCCUGCGCUUGCUUCCUGAGCAAUUUUGCUCGAUAUACUGAUUGAUUGCGUCCAACUGAACCUCCUUUCGGGGAGGAAGAAGUUGGUCAAUCUAAAUGCCUGUUGGACCUCAUUCAAGGAUUGGUUGAGGAAAGAACAACACUUUGAAGAAGUACUCGGAUUGAUUUGGUAGAAACCGAACGCCUAGUAACUCAGACUUGCGAGCUUUCGGGCUUACAAAGCUGAUGAAAGGUUAAGGAAGUAAACUAGAUUGAACUGAGGAAACUUUAGAGUGCUUUCCGCCUGUAGACCGAUCUCUGAUGAACCAACUACCUUUCGGAAGUGUGCUCUCGGGCACACUUUAGAAAACUCUUUUCUGCUUCCUAUUAAUUUAGGAACAGGAAAACCUAACCAGCCUCACCUCAUCUCGAGUGGGAAUACCCGCUGAAUUGAAGCAUCUUAAUAAGCGGAGGAAAAGAAAACAACCGUGAUUCCCUUAGUAACGGCGAGUGAACAGGGAAAAGCCCAAGCCUGAAAUCCUAUGAGUCGCCUGUUUCUUCCUCGGAGGGGAUAGGUCGUCUGCUUGUGGGAGUUGUGGCCUCACGACGUGCCCGAGAUCCAGUGCAGUCUCAACGGUUCCAAGUCACCUGGAAAGGUGCUGACACAGAGGGUGAAAUCCCCGUGGGGACCGACUCCGAAAGGGGGAUGAGCGAGUCACUUUUGGAUCAACAAAGGGUCACAGUCGCAGAGUCGGGCUGCUUGAGAGUGCAGCCUGAAUGCGGGUGGUAUACUCCACCCAAGGCUAAAUACACGGUGGGAGACCGAUAGCGCACAAGUACCGCGAGGGAAAGAUGCAAAGAACUCUGAAUAGAGAGUGAAAAGAACUUGAAGUUGUUGGAAGAGAAGCGAUUGCGGACUGCGGAGAGCGAUGAUCGGGCAGGGGUCUCUCGAAUUUAUUUGAGAAACACUGGUGGGAAAGCGGAAACGCCUUCUCUCACCCUGCCUCAGUUAGGUCAUCCAGCCGGUAUCAGUUAGAGGGGUACGAUACUCCCCGGGGGUUUGCCGCCACCGACGCUGCCGCGAGGCAGUGGAACAGGAUGGUGAGCGGGCCCUCGGAGUGGGCGGCGUGGUCCCUUUGACUGAGGUAAUUCGAUGCACCUUCUCCCCAACUCUCCUCCGGGAGGGUGCAAGGAGAAAGGGCGGGAGGCGAAUUACUGUUCUGGCAAGAGGUGGAGAGAGGUUGUUGCUGUUCUCGGGUGAAACCGGGAGCGUGCGCAGCCUGUCUCUAUCAUUUGUUGGGAUAGGAAUUUGUCCACCAGCUCAAAGGCCAAGGUGCGGAGGAUACCGGUCAGGCAAGGACGCAAUCGUCCCGUCUUGAAACACGGACCAAGGAGUUCGACAUGCAUGCGAGCGUAUGGGUGUGAAAAACCCGGACGCGAAACCAACGUGAACACCUGAGACUCGGUGGGUAAAACUGCUGACGCAUCAGGGACCUGCUCAGAGGGACGGUGUGCGGGGGACUCAGUGAGGAAACUCGCUGGGAACCACAAAACCGCAUAUCGCACCGAGAUGAGCCAGAGUCAGAGUAUGCAUGUUGAGACCCGAAAGAUGAUGAACUAUGCCCGGGGAGGAUAAAGCCAGGGGAAACCCUGGUGGAAGUCCGCAGCGAUACUGACGUGCAAAUCGUUCGUCAGACCUGGGUAUAGGGGCGAAAGACCCAUCGAAUCAUCUAGUAGCUGGUUCCUUC
rnacentral:misc_RNA from 1 species